GUGCCAGCCGCCGCGGUAAUACGUAGGGUGCAAGCGUUAUCCGGAAUUAUUGGGCGUAAAGGGCUCGUAGGCGGUUCGUCGCGUCCGGUGUGAAAGUCCAUCGCUUAACGGUGGAUCUGCGCCGGGUACGGGCGGGCUGGAGUGCGGUAGGGGAGACUGGAAUUCCCGGUGUAACGGUGGAAUGUGUAGAUAUCGGGAAGAACACCAAUGGCGAAGGCAGGUCUCUGGGCCGUUACUGACGCUGAGGAGCGAAAGCGUGGGGAGCGAACAGGAUUAGAUACCCUGGUAGUCCACGCCGUAAACGAUGGAUGCUGGAUGUGGGGCCCGUUCCACGGGUUCCGUGUCGGAGCUAACGCGUUAAGCAUCCCGCCUGGGGAGUACGGCCGCAAGGCUAAAACUUAAAUAAAUUGGCGG
rnacentral:rRNA from 1 species